rnacentral:rRNA from 1 species
UACGUAGGGUGCAGGCGUUAAUCGGAAUUACUGGGCGUAAAGCGCGCGCAGGCGGGUUCGGCAAGUCCGAAGUGAAUUUCACUGCUCAACGGUGAAGCUGCUUCAGAUACUGCGAAUCUUGAGACCGGUAGAGGUUGGUGGAAUUGCAGGUGUAGCGGUGGAAUGCGUAGAGAUCUGCAAGAACACCCGUGGCGAAGGCGGCCAACU